rnacentral:rRNA from 1 species
GGUCAAGCUACAAAGGGCGCAUGGUGAAUGCCUUGGCAUCAGGAGCCGAUGAAGGACGUGAUAAGCUGCGAUAAGCUUCGGGUAGGCGCACAUAGCCUGAGAUCCGAAGAUCUCCGAAUGAGGAAACUCACAUGGGAAACCCCAUGUAUCAUUAAGUGAAUACAUAGCUUAAUGAAGGUAACCCAGGGAACUGAAACAUCUAAGUACCUGGAGGAAGAGAAAGAAAAAUCGAUUUUCUUAGUAGCGGCGAGCGAAAGGGAAAGAGCCCAAACCGGAAACUUGUUUCCGGGGUUGUGGACAUAACAUAAAAGUGGAGGCUAUUGUAACUGAAGAGAACUGGAAAGUUCCACCGUAGAAGGUAAUAGUCCUGUAAGUGAAACGAGAAGACCACGAGUUAUGAUCCAGAGUACCACGAGACACGUGAAACCUUGUGGGAAGCAGGGAGGACCACCUCCCAAGGCUAAAUACUACCUGAUGACCGAUAGUGAAGCAGUACCGUGAGGGAAAGGUGAAAAGAACCCCGGGAGGGGAGUGAAAUAGAACCUGAAACCGUGUGCCUACAACCGCUCAGAGCCCCUUAUGAGGGUGAUGAGGUGCUUUUUGUAGAACGAGCCAACGAGUUACGGUAUGUAGCAAGGUUAAGUACUUAAGGUACGGAGCCGAAGGGAAACCGAGUCUGAAUAGGGCGACUAGUUGCAUGCCGUAGACCCGAAACCGGGUGACCUAUCCAUGGCCAGGUUGAAGCGAGGGUAAAACCUCGUGGAGGACCGAACCACGUUGCUGUUGAAAAAGCAUGGGAUGAGCUGUGGAUAGCGGAGAAAUUCCAAUCGAACCCGGAGAUAGCUGGUUCUCUCCGAAAUAGCUUUAGGGCUAGCGUCGAGUAUGAGUAGUGGAGGUAGAGCACUGAAUGGGCUAGGGGGCAUAGCGCUUACCGAACCUUAUCAAACUCCGAAUGCCACAUACUUUGAGCUCGGCAGUCAGACUACGAAUGAUAAGAUCCGUGGUCAAAAGGGAAACAGCCCAGAUCGUCAGCUAAGGUCCCAAAGUGUAAGUUAAGUGGGAAAGGAUGUGAGAUUUCUAAGACAACUAGGAUGUUGGCUUAGAAGCAGCCAUUCAUUAAAAGAGUGCGUAAUAGCUCACUAGUCGAGAGAUCUUGCGCCGAAAAUGUAACGGGGCUAAACUUACCACCGAAGCUACGGGCUUGAACUUAGUUCAAGCGGUAGGAGAGCGUCGUAACCGGGCUGAAGUCGUACCGUAAGGAGCGGUGGACUGGUUACGAGUGAGAAUGUUGGCAUCAGUAGCGAGAUGUGGGUGAGAAUCCCACAGGCCGAAAACCUAAGGUUUCCUCAGGAAGGUUCGUCCGCUGAGGGUUAGUCGGGACCUAAGCCGAGGCCGAAAGGCGUAGGUGAUGGACAACUGGUUGAUAUUCCAGUACCACUACCAUCGUUAUUAUCGAUGGCGUGACGCAGGAGGAUAGUGUGUGCUAGCUAUUGGAUGCUAGUCUAAGCGUUUAGGCAGUGAGAGUAGGCAAAUCCGCUCUCAUAAUGCUGAGGCGUGAUGGGGAAGGUUCUACGGAACCGAAGUACAUGAUUCCACGCUGCCAAGAAAAGCGUCUAGAGAGAGAAGUAGUGCCCGUACCGCAAACCGACACAGGUAGGUGAGGAGAGAAUCCUAAGGCCGGCGGAAGAAUUACAGUUAAGGAACUCGGCAAAUUGACCCCGUAAGUUCGCGAGAAGGGGUGCCUACGAGAGUAGGCCGCAGAGAAUAGGCCCAAGCAACUGUUUAGCAAAAACACAGGUCUCUGCUAAAGCGUAAGCUGAUGUAUAGGGGCUGACGCCUGCCCGGUGCUGGAAGGUUAAGGGGAACACUUAGCGCAAGCGAAGGUGUGAACUUAAGCCCCAGUAAACGGCGGCCGUAACUAUAACGGUCCUAAGGUAGCGAAAUUCCUUGUCAGGUAAGUUCUGACCCGCACGAAUGGCGUAAUGACUUGGGCACUGUCUCAACUGUAAAUCCGGCGAAGUUGUAGUGCGAGUGAAGAUGCUCGCUACCCGCGAUUGGACGGAAAGACCCCGUAGAGCUUUACUGUAGCUUAGCAUUGAGUUUUGGUAUUGUCUGUACAGGAUAGGUGGGAGACUAGGAAACCAGGGCGUCAGCCUUGGUGGAGUCAACCUUGGGAUACCACCCUGACAGUACUGAAAUUCUAACUGGCGGCCAUGAAUCUGGUCACAGGACAUUGUUAGGUGGGCAGUUUGACUGGGGCGGUCGCCUCCUAAAAAGUAACGGAGGCGCCCAAAGGUUCCCUCAGAACGGUCGGAAAUCGUUCGAAGAGUGCAAAGGCAGAAGGGAGCCUGACUGCGACACCCACAAGUGGAGCAGGGACGAAAGUCGGGCUUAGUGAUCCGGUGGUACCUCGUGGGAGGGCCAUCGCUCAACGGAUAAAAGCUACCUCGGGGAUAACAGGCUGAUCUCCCCCAAGAGUCCACAUCGACGGGGAGGUUUGGCACCUCGAUGUCGGCUCGUCGCAUCCUGGGGCUGAAGUAGGUCCCAAGGGUUGGGCUGUUCGCCCAUUAAAGCGGCACGCGAGCUGGGUUCAGAACGUCGUGAGACAGUUCGGUCCCUAUCCGUCGCGGGCGUAGGAAAUUUGAGAGGAGCUGUCCUUAGUACGAGAGGACCGGGAUGGACUGACCUCUGGUGUACCAGUUGUUCCGCCAGGAGCACAGCUGGGUAGCUAAGUCGGGAAUGGAUAAACGCUGAAAGCAUCUAAGCGUGAAGCCAACCUCAAGAUGAGAUUUCCCAUAGCGUAAGCUAGUAAGAUCCCUUGAAGAACACAAGGUUGAUAGGUCGGGGGUGUAAGCAUGGUAACAUGUUCAGCUGACCGAUACU